AAACCAUCUUGUUAGUCUUUAAAGUGCUGCAUAGUCCUGACUUUUGUUUCAGCUAGACCAGGCUAACACAACUACAUCUGUAUUACUAUUCUAUACAGUGUAGUCUUAGAAGUGCCAUAAUUUUUAUGAAGAGUUUUAAAGCAUAUUUUUUGUGUAUGCAUUGUAUUUUGUAAUAGAACUGGGAAGGAAGAAAAGAUAUUUCCAUUAAAUAAAAGAAAUGAUGGAGGCACUUUGUACAGUGAAGGGAUGGAAGGGACUGGAUUGUUUUGGAAGGGACUAGAUUUUUUUUCCCCAAUUACAUAAUAUCUACAUUAGGCUUUGAAUGUUAGUGAGAUUCAAGAGAUGUAAUAUAUGCAUAUGCAUCUUGUAAAGAUUAGGGCUUUUGACAUUUAAAAUUAGAUUAUAUGCUCUCAGGUACUGUAGACAAUCUUGUUCAUCUCCUGGGGAAGAGAACUAGAUGUUCUAGAUUGUGUUGAAGGUUCAGUUUCAGUUACAAAACAAAGAACAGGAUCUAUUGGAGAUCGCCCAGCAAGACCAACUCUUUUAGAACAAGUAUUGAAUCAGAAAAGACUGUCCUUAUUAAGAAGUCCAGAGGUGGUACAGUUUCUGCAGAAACAGCAGCAACUGCUAAGUCAACAGGCUUUGGAACAAAGGCAGCAUCAGUUUCCAGGAGCAUCUGUGUAAUGGGGACAAGAAGAAUCUCAUAAUGAAGUAGUAGAGAGAUAUGUAUUUUACAUAUGUAAAGAAGACAAGUUAAAUAUUAAGAUGGAAGACUAAAAUUGUUGCUGCUGUAUCAUACUUGUUUUGUGAUUGCACUUUUGGGGUUCUGAGCUGCAUAGAUGUCUACAAAUUUGUGAGUAAAUCAGGAGGAAUCUGUCUCCCCAUUCUGUUUUAGAAAUUUAACUUAUUCAUAAUUUUUGUAUAAGUGUAAUUAUCAGUAAUCAUUAUAUAACCCCUAAGCGUAUCAAAGUCUUCCAUUAUAAACUAAACAUUUUGCUGUGUGAAAGACUUCAUAACUUCAAUGUAGUCACUCUUAGAUGACAGUCAUUGAAGAAAAAAGAAGCAAUUACUUUCUGUGGAAGUUUUAUAAUAAAAAAAAAAGUACUGACUCUGAGCCAACUCAGUAAGACGACAUAGUAACAAAUUGCUCAGGGAUAUAAGAGGCUUGGAGUCAUUAGAUUCUGUUGCACUAACAGUUACAGACAAAAUAUUGCCAUGUAGUAGCUGCACUAAUGGCUGACUUCAAAUCAUGGAUCCUUUUUGUGUAUGUUCAUAAUUCACAAGUCUGGUUAAACAAUCCAAUCUAACUGUUCUUACUAAAAGAAGUACUAUAGGGCCGUAACCAACACAAUGGGUAGUUGAAAAGAAUUGAUGUGGAAAAUGGCCCCAGGAUGAAUAGAAAGGAGAAAUUGCCAUUUAAAGGAAGAACUGAAGUGGAAAAAAGUAACCCAAGGCUUUUUCAUUGUUUACAUGAUCUUCAUUAUCAAAUGCUCGGGAACGUCACAAAAGGUGAUAUUUAAAAAAUUGGUGGUCAAUAGUAGUGGACCAUAGCUUUCUGAGUGAUAUUGGAAUAAUGUGGUCUCCCCUGAAUGAACCAGUUUAAUAAUUAUAUUAAUUAUUAUUUACAGGGCUUGACAAGUGACGCUGAGCCCCGCUUGCCAGCCGCGCAGUUUGGCGCGCUGAGCAUGCGCAGACCGCGCUGCGCAUGCGCUGAUUGCGCCACGGUGCCGUGCAGGGCUAAAAUCUACUCACCACGGGCAAGUAGAUUGCCCUAAUUGUUGAUCCCUGAUUAUUUAUUUGUGUUGAAUUUGAAAGCCAUAAGUGAUUUUCAUUCCUCUCUAAGGGCACAUCUACACAGCAGCGCUGCUAUGUAGAAUUAAGCUACGCAACUUCAGCUAUGUCAAUUGCAUAGCUGAAGUUGAAAUUACAAAAGCUGAAUUA